GCAGGUCUUCAUGAUUGUGCUGAUGUGGAUCUCUUGUGUUGCAGUGAAUCAUGGCUCACAGUGACGGCUGAAGAAGCACAGGCGUCUCACGCACAGCUAUUGUCAUGGCCACGGGCUCCUCCAGAAGCGACAGAGAACGCUCUCAGCUGCAUGCCGUCGUUUCAUGUGCCAAACUCAAGAGGAAGAAGAACUGGUUCGGAACGGCCAUCUAUGUGGAAGUGACAUCAGAGGGGGAGAGCAAGAAAACCGCCAAAUCCCACAGUUCAUCCAGCCCCAAAUGGGAGGAACGUCUGACGCUGUGAGUCAGUGUG